GGGGCUUGGAUGGCUUCCGCAGAUACGUGCAUCACUCGUGGUGUAUCGUCAGACUGACAGUAUGGUUCGUCAAGUAGGAGCCUCUAGUGGCCACCGCUGACGUAAGGCUUUUGGUCGUGGGUCCAAGUUGGGCUCACGGCCUCUGGUUAUGGAUGGACGUUCAAAGCUGUCGUUCUAAUGCGGGUUGGCCCACCACGGCACGUUGUGAGGUCACCCACAGGCUCAGACUGCUGAUCGCGUACCCAGGAGGACUUGGCUCUGAAGCGUGUCUGACAAUGCCCUCCGUGCACUUAACGGAGGGCCCUACGCGCGCCUAUUCCUGGGUCGGGCAGCGACCGAGUUAAACCUGGUAUGAUCCUCUCGCGACGAGCUGCUUUCUGGCCAGACCGGCGUCCCGGCCUCAUUCCCUGUGCCGGAGUGGGGUCGACCCCAGGCGGUGUGACCCUCUGUGUGAGUAAAAUCAACAAGGUCUCUCAGCCGGGCGCUGGUCUGAGUGGUGUAAUGUCCAGCACCAUCGGUCACGUCUCGAAACACGGGCCAAGGAGUAUAGCAUGUGUGCAAGUCUAAGGGUCUCACAAAACCCGAUGGCGAAGUGAAAGCAAGUCUGUGGCGGGCGAGCCGUUCGCGGCGGACCCGUCAGCCUCGGCGGCGCGCUAUUUAUAGUGCGCUGCCGGGCUUUCAGCAGAGCUGAUCCUGUUCUCGGUUUGUUCUUGGUGCAGGCGCAAGCUCCGGGCUCACGUACAGUAGCACUGGUCACGCGUCUCGUGCG
rnacentral:rRNA from 1 species